AGUAAACAAAAUGAAAAAGAUUUUUGCCUCGGCGGCCCUGCAGGCCGGUGGCUGCACCAUGCUGGGUCCCGCGCUGCUGCGGGCGGCCUCCUGAGGAGCCGGGCGCCUCGGGGGAGCGCUGGGGCGAGCUGUCCACUGAGUGUGUCAGUGCGGGCACAGAGCAGCUCAGAAGAUAAAAAUAACAGUCCACUUUGUAAACCGUGAUGGUGAAACAUUAACAACCAAAGGAAAAGUUGGUGAUUAUCUCCUAGAUGUUGUGGUUGAAAAUAAUCUAGAUAUUGAUGGCUUUGGUGCAUGUGAGGGAACCCUGGCUUGUUCAACUUGUCACCUCAUCUUUGAAGAUCACAUAUUUGAGAAGUUAGAUGCAAUCACUGAUGAGGAGAAUGACAUGCUCGAUCUGGCAUAUGGACUAACAGACAGAUCAUGGUUGGGCUGCCAAAUCUGCUUGACAAAAUCUAUGGACAAUAUGACUGUUCGAGUGCCUGGAACAGUGGCUGAUGCCAGACAAUCCAUUGAUGUUAGCAAGACCUCCUGAACUAGAACAAAUAGGAGUAUUUUCAUGGAAUUUUACCUAUUUUUAUAAUUAUUAUUUCUUAAUAUUAUUAAAUGAGAACAUGGAUGAGUGGACUUUGUAUUAUGACUAGCUUUACUAUUUUAAUUCACCUCAUGUAACUACUGAAUUUUGUAGUUCUUGAAAGUAUGCAAUUUUUAUUUUGAUUAUAUUACAAAAAUGUCAAUCAAGUAUUAGAAAACAGUUAAUAUGAUAAAAAAAAAACUGUCAUUUUUUUCCUUAUGUUUGUUUAGUGACUUUAGCAAAAUGUUUUCAUAUAAUCUCGUCUGUUUACCUAGAAGAUAGGUUAA